rnacentral:rRNA from 1 species
GCGUGAGGGAAGAAGGCCUUCGGAUUGUAAAGCACUUUAAGUUGGGAGGAAGGGCAGGAAGCUAAUACCUUGCUGUUUUGACGUUACCACUAGAAGACGCACCGCGUAACUUUGUGCCAGCAGCCGCGGUUAUACGGAGGGUGCAAGCGUUAAUCGGAAUUACUGGGCGUAAAGCGCGCGUAGGUGGUUCCGAAGUUGAAUGUCAAAUCCCCGGGGUCAACCUGGGAACUGCAUCGCGAACUGGGAGAUUGGAAUACCUGAUAGAGUGGUGGAAUGUCCUGAGUAGCGGAGAAAUGCCUAUAUCUAAGACGGAACACCGGUGCGGAACUGAACCUCCUGAACGGAUACUGGCGCUGCAGAGCGAAUGAGAGGCCCUGAAACAGCAUUACAUACACUGUGAGUACUCGCCGUAGACUACGUUCACUAGACUCUGGGAUCCUUGAGAUGUUAUAGGCGCACCUCAUGCGAUGAAUGGACCGCCUGGGGAGUACGGCCGCAAGGGUAAAACUCACAUGAAUUGACGGGAGCCCGCGCAUGAGUUGGAGGAUGUGGGUUAAUUCUUAAGCAACGCUUGAAAUAUUACCUAGACUUGACAUGCAGAGAACUCUCCAGAGAUUCUAUUGCUGCCUCUCGGGGACUCUUUACACAGCAUGCUGCAUGGUUUU